AUUGAACGCUGGCGGCAUGCCUUACACAUGCAAGUCGAACGGUAACAGGUCUUCGGAUGCCGACGAGUGGCGAACGGGUGAGUAAUACAUCGGAACGUGCCCGAUCAUGGGGGAUAACGAAGCGAAAGCUUUGCUAAUACCGCAUACGAUCUACGGAUGAAAGCAGGGGACCGCAAGGCCUUGCGCGAACGGAGCGGCCGAUGGCAGAUUAGGUAGUUGGUGGGAUAAAAGCUUACCAAGCCGACGAUCUGUAGCUGGUCUGAGAGGACGACCAGCCACACUGGGACUGAGACACGGCCCAGACUCCUACGGGAGGCAGCAGUGGGGAAUUUUGGACAAUGGGCGAAAGCCUGAUCCAGCCAUGCCGCGUGCAGGAUGAAGGCCUUCGGGUUGUAAACUGCUUUUGUACGGAACGAAAAGACUCUGGUUAAUACCUGGGGUCCAUGACGGUACCGUAAGAAUAAGCACCGGCUAACUACGUGCCAGCCGCCGCUGUAAUAC
rnacentral:rRNA from 1 species